rnacentral:rRNA from 1 species
GAUGAACGCUGGCGGCGUGCCUAAUACAUGCAAGUCGAGCGAACGGACGAGAAGCUUGCUUCUCUGAUGUUAGCGGCGGACGGGUGAGUAACACGUGGAUAACCUACCUAUAAGACUGGGAUAACUUCGGGAAACCGUAGCUAAUACCGGAUAAUAUUAUGAACCGCAUGGUUCAAAAGUGAAAGACGGUCUUGCUGUCACUUAUAGAUGGAUCCGCGCUGCAUUAGCUAGUUGGUAAGGUAACGGCUUACCAAGGCAACGAUGCAUAGCCGACCUGAGAGGGUGAUCGGCCACACUGGAACUGAGACCCGGUCCAGACUCCUACGGGAGGCAGCAGUAGGGAAUCUUCCGCAAUGGGCGAAAGCCUGACGGAGCAACGCCGCGUGAGUGAUGAAGGUCUUCGGAUCGUAAAACUCUGUUAUUAGGGAAGAACAUAUGUGUAAGUAACUGUGCACAUCUUGACGGUACCUAAUCAGAAAGCCACGGCUAACUACGUG